rnacentral:rRNA from 1 species
CCUACGGGAGGCAGCAGUGAGGAAUAUUGGUCAAUGGACGCAAGUCUGAACCAGCCAUGCCGCGUGCAGGACGACGGCUCUAUGAGUUGUAAACUGCUUUUGUACGAGGGUAAAUACCCCUACGUGUAGCGGGUUGAAAGUAUAAUACGAAUAAGGAUCGGCUAACUCCGUGCCAGCAGCCGCGGUAAUACGGAGGAUUCAAGCGUUAUCCGGAUUUAUUGGGUUUAAAGGGUGCGUAGGCGGUUUGAUAAGUUAGAGGUGAAAUACCGGGGCUCAACGCCGGAACUGCCUCUAAUACUGUUGGGCUAGAGAGUAGUUGCGGUAGGCGGAAUGUAUGGUGUAGCGGUGAAAUGCAUAGAGAUCAUACAGAACACCGAUUGCGAAGGCAGCUUACCAAACUAUAACUGACGUUGAGGCACGAAAGCGUGGGUAGCAAACAGGAUUAGAUACCCGGGUAGUC